UACGGGGGGGGCAAGCGUUGUUCGGAAUUACCGGGCGUAAAGGGCUCGUAGGCGGCCAACUAAGUCGGAUGUGAAAUCCCCAAGCUUAACUUGGGAACUGCAUCCGAUACUGGAUGGCUUGAAUCCGGGAGAGGGAUGCAGAAUUCCAGGUGUAGCGGUGAAAUGCGUAGAUAUCUGGAGGAAUACCGGUGGCGAAGGCGGCAUCCUGGACCGGCAUUGACGCUGAGGAGCGAAAGCUAGGGGAGCAAACGGG
rnacentral:rRNA from 1 species